rnacentral:rRNA from 1 species
CCUACGGGAGGCAGCAGUGGGGAAUAUUGCACAAUGGGGGAAACCCUGAUGCAGCGACGCCGCGUGAGUGAAGAAGUAAUUCGUUAUGUAAAGCUCUAUCAGCAGGGAAGAAAAUGACGGUACCUGAGUAAGAAGCCCCGGCUAACUACGUGCUAGCAGCCGCGGUAAUACGUAGGGGGCAAGCGUUAUCCGGAUUUACUGGGUGUAAAGGGAGCGUAGACGGCAGUGCAAGUCUGGAGUGAAAGGCGGGGGCUCAACCCCCGGACUGCCCUGGAAACUGUACGGCUUGAGUGCAGGAGAGGUAAGUGGAAUUCCUAGUGUAGCGGUGAAAUGCGUAGAUAUUAGGAGGAACACCAGUGGCGAAGGCGGCUUACUGGACUGUAACUGACGUUGAGGCUCGAAAGCGUGGGGAGCAAACAGGAUUAGAUACCCGAGUAGUC